UGUUGUCGGUUCGAACGAUGACGAUGGAAUGAAAAUCGUUGGCAAAAAUGCUGCCUUCACGACUCCACGGCAAAACAAAACAGCCAAUCAGAGAGCGGAAAGAUUUUUUGCGUGGGUCAAAGCACGCGCUUGCUUGUUCAAGGCCAACUGCGAUCGUUUGACGUUUGACACUUGCAAGCGAAAAUUGUUAAUAUUCUUUUAUUUUUUUUGACAAAGAACUUUGUCCUAAGGGCUCUAUUCUGGUGAGGUGUCAAUCCAGAAAACCGAAAAAUGUCGCGCGUUACGAAAAUGUUGCAUGCUUGGUACUGGGGAAGGGGUCCGCAACGCAACAAGGCACUGUUGCGUGGAAUUUUCCACACAGUUGCAACAAGAAGCGAAUUAUGAGGUUUGGGAUAACCGGCACAAAGAGGCGGAGCAUCCGUCACCAUUUUGAGCCAAUAUAAACCCCGCUCGAUCAGCCCAGGGAAAUCAUUCUAUCGCUGGACGCCGAGAAGUGAACAACAACCUGGACCUGGAAGCAGAUGGCCUGGAGGCCCAGAAGCAGUUGGCCGAAAAGCAGCUGGCCUGGAGCAAGGAGCAGCCCAAGCGGAGGCAGGCCAGCCGGAAUAUUCUGGCCACAAGACACGGAGUGGCCAGAACCCUCAGGGGUGUUCCGAUGGAAGGCCAUACGAGACGGGACAAAAUGGGUAUCAAACUUCUUGGAUUUUGAUACUGGUGAUGAAAAUGACCAUUUUGACAGUGUUGGCCACAACCUGGAGUGGCCGGUGCCCUCAGGGAACAAAAUUGUUAAUGUCCCGGGAGGACAUUAACAGAACCAUACGAUUUUGGGCAAUAUGGGUAUCAAACUUCUUGGUUUUCAAUACUGGUAAUGAAAAUGGCCGUUUUGACAGUAUUGGCCACAACCUGGAGUGGCCGGUGCCCUCAGGGAAGUUCUCCCGGGAGGACAUUUACCGAACCAUACGAUUUUGGGCAAUAUGGGUAUCAAACUCCUUGGUUUUCAAUACUGGUAAUGAAAAUGGCCAUUUUGACAGUAUUGGAUACAACCUGGAGUGGCCGGUGCCCUCAGGGAGGUUCUCCCGGGAGGACAUUUACCGAACCAUACGAUUUUGGGCACUAUUGGUAUCAAAAUUCAUGUUUUUCAAUACUGGUAAUGAAUAUGGCCAUUUUGACAGUAUUGGCCACAACCUGGAGUGGCCGGUGCCCUCAGGGAGGUUCUCCCGGGAGGACAUUUACCGAACCAUACAAUUUUUGGCAAUAUGGGUAUCAAAAUUCAUGUUUUUAAAUACUGGUAAUGAAAAAUACCAUUUUGACAGUAUUGGCCACAACCUGGAGUGGCCGGUUUCUCAGGGAGGUUCUCCCGGGAGGACAUUUACCGAACAAUAUGAUUUUGAGCAAUUGUUCAAGGCUCAACUGCGAUCGUUGACGAUGACGAUGGAAUGAAAAUCGUUGGCAAAAAUGCUGCCUUAACGACUCCACGGCAAAACAAAACAGCCAAUCAGAGAGCGGAAAGAUUUUUUGCGUGGGUCAAAGCACGCGCUUGCUUGUUCAAGGCCAACUGCGAUCGAUUGACCGUGGACACUUGCAAGCGAAGAUUGUUAAUAUCCGUUAAUUUUUUUUUAAUUGAAAAUUUUGGGGGAAAUAUUUACAUUCAUUUAAAUGCCAAGCGUCAAAAGCUUUAAAAAUGCACAAAAAGCAGUGCAUGAAUCAUUUGAAACCAUAACUCUUUCGUGAAUUUUUCGUUGGCGCUGAAAAGCGCCAUUUUGUUAAAUUGCAGCAGAAGUUGAUUUGUGUGGCCAUCUUCUCGAGCGUCCAUCCAAGUAGGCCUUGUUUUUCUCCUUCGACGUCGUUUUGGCAGCAAUUUCACGCACACGCUGGCGUGUUUCUUCUUCUCGGAGCUCGCUCUUGAUUUCCUCCAGUCGUUGAUUUUUUUCCGCUGCUGCUGCUGCUGCUACGAUGUUGUCGGUUCGAACGAUGACGAUGGAAUGAAAAUCGUUGGCAAAAAUGCUGCCUUCACGACUCCACGGCAAAACAAAA